UAGCAUAUCAAUAAGCGGAGGAAAGAAACCAACAGGGAUUGCCUCAGUAACGGCGAGUGAAGCGGCAACAGCUCAAAUUUGAAAUCUGGCCCUAGGCCCGAGUUGUAAUUUGCAGAGGAUGCUUUUGGCGCGGUGCCUUCCGAGUUCCCUGGAACGGGACGCCAUAGAGGGUGAGAGCCCCGUCUGGUCGGACACCAAGCCUCUGUAAAGCUCCUUCGACGAGUCGAGUAGUUUGGGAAUGCUGCUCAAAAUGGGAGGUAUAUGUCUUCUAAAGCUAAAUACCGGCCAGAGACCGAUAGCGCACAAGUAGAGUGAUCGAAAGAUGAAAAGCACUUUGGAAAGAGAGUUAAACAGCACGUGAAAUUGUUAAAAGGGAAGCGUUUAUGACCAGACUUGGGCCGGUUGAUCAUCCAGCGUUCUCGCUGGUGCACUCUGCCGGUCCAGGCCAGCAUCAGUUCGCUGCGGGGGAUAAAGGCGUCGGGAAUGUGGCUCCUCGGAGUGUUAUAGCCCUUCGCGCAAUACCCUGUGGCGGACUGAGGUUCGCGCAUUCGCAAGGAUGCUGGCGUAAUGGUCAUCAACGACCCGUCUUGAAACACGGACCAAGGAGUCGUCUUCGUAUGCGAGUGUUCGGGUGUAAAACCCCUACGCGUAAUGAAAGUGAACGCAGGUGAGAGCUUCGGCGCAUCAUCGACCGAUCCUGAUGUUCUCGGAUGGAUUUGAGUAAGAGCAUACGGGGCCGGACCCGAAAGAAGGUGAACUAUGCCUGUAUAGGGUGAAGCCAGAGGAAACUCUGGUGGAGGCUCGCAGCGGUUCUGACGUGCAAAUCGAUCGUCAAAUAUGGGCAUGGGGGCGAAAGACUAAUCGAACCUUCUAGUAGCUG
rnacentral:rRNA from 1 species